rnacentral:lncRNA from 1 species
CUUAGCUCUGUCUGCUUGCUGCUCGGACAAGUGGGGGGCUCUGGAUCAAUUUCUGGAGCCAGGCGGACUUGCCAACAACAAUUUUCCUUUUCCCAGAGGGCCUCGGAGGCCUGGAGCAGCUUCCAAGGCCUUCCUCUCCGGCCUGCUCAGCGUGGGCUCCCUGACAGCGAGUUUGAAAAGGGUUAUAGAGAGGCAGAUAAAUGCCCGGCUUGUUGUAGCCUCCUGACAGCGCCGACCCCCGCGCCAGUGAGCUCAUGCCCGCCUCAUUACGCUUGGUGCCAGAUUUUUUCCAUUAGCAGGAGCACCCGGAGGAGAAUCCUGGCCCCCGUUUCGGUCGCGAGCCCCGCUGUGAUGCUGGCGCGUGCUAAGGACCGUCACCUCAAAGAAAAGAGAACAGCUGCAGACUGAAAGAUGGUGAAAGCUACAAGGCAUUUGAGGACUAACCAUUGUAACAAUAGCUGCCAACCCCUCCUCUUUGUAACUGAAAUGGAUUUGCAACAACAUUUGUUGGAUGAACAAACAAACGCCUGACUUAAAGAACACUACAAAUUAAAAUUGAGAAGACAUCACCCUUCCUGGACGGUAUCAGGUUAGCUUCCUAGAUCAUGAAACUCCCAAGAGCAAACGAUUCAUUUUAUUGGAAUAGUAAUUAUUAUUAUUACACUAAUUAGCAUCAGUAAUGUGCCCAGCACGGUACACUUAGUAUACAGCACUUCAUUUAAUCUUUACUAUGACCUUUACAGAUUAAACAAAGAGUGAGGUUCAGAGAGGUUCUCUUGCCCACUGCCCCAGCUGGCAAGUGGCAGAGAAGAGAUUCAA